AGCGAACGCUGGCGGCAGGCCUAACACAUGCAAGUCGAACGAAGCCUUCGGGCUUAGUGGCGGACGGGCGAGUAACACGUGGGAACGUACCUUUUGGUUCGGAAUAACGCAGAGAAAUUUGCGCUAAUACCGAAUGAGCCCUUCGGGGGAAAGAUUUAUCGCCGAAAGAUCGGCCCGCGUUGGAUUAGGUAGUUGGUGUGGUAAAGGCGCACCAAGCCUACGAUCCAUAGCUGGUCUGAGAGGAUGAUCAGCCACACUGGGACUGAGACACGGCCCAGACUCCUACGGGAGGCAGCAGUGGGGAAUCUUGCGCAAUGGGCGAAAGCCUGACGCAGCCAUGCCGCGCGAAUGAUGAAGGUCUUAGGAUUGUAAAAUUCUUUUACCAGGGACGAUAAUGACGGUACCUGGAGAAAAAGCCCCGGCUAACUUCGUGCCAGCCGCCGCGGUAAUAC
rnacentral:rRNA from 1 species